AACGAACGCUGGCGGCAGGCCUAACACAUGCAAGUCGAACGCUGUAGCAAUACAGAGUGGCAGACGGGUGAGUAACGCGUGGGAACAUGCCCUUCGGUUCGGAAUAACUCAGGGAAACUUGAGCUAAUACCGGAUACGCCCUUAGGGGGAAAGAUUUAUUGCCGAAGGAUUGGCCCGCGUCCGAUUAGCUAGUUGGUGAGGUAAUGGCUCACCAAGGCGACGAUCGGUAGCUGGUCUGAGAGGAUGAUCAGCCACACUGGGACUGAGACACGGCCCAGACUCCUACGGGAGGCAGCAGUGGGGAAUAUUGGACAAUGGGCGCAAGCCUGAUCCAGCCAUGCCGCGUGAGUGAUGAAAGCCCUAGGGUUGUAAAGCUCUUUCGCCAGGGACGAUAAUGACGGUACCUGGAUAAGAAGCCCCGGCUAACUUCGUGCCAGCCGCCGCGGUAAAAC
rnacentral:rRNA from 1 species